GGCGUGCCUAAACAUGCAAGUCGAACGCUUUUUCUUUCACCGGAGCUUGCUCCACCGAAAGAAAAAGAGUGGCGAACGGGUGAGUAACACGUGGGUAACCUGCCCAUCAGAAGGGGAUAACACUUGGAAACAGGUGCUAAUACCGUAUAACACUAUUUUCCGCAUGGAAGAAAGUUGAAAGGCGCUUUUGCGUCACUGAUGGAUGGACCCGCGGUGCAUUAGCUAGUUGGUGAGGUAACGGCUCACCAAGGCAACGAUGCAUAGCCGACCUGAGAGGGUGAUCGGCCACACUGGGACUGAGACACGGCCCAGACUCCUACGGGAGGCAGCAGUAGGGAAUCUUCGGCAAUGGACGAAAGUCUGACCGAGCAACGCCGCGUGAGUGAAGAAGGUUUUCGGAUCGUAAAACUCUGUUGUUAGAGAAGAACAAGGAUGAGAGUAAAAUGUUCAUCCCUUGACGGUAUCUAACCAGAAAGCCACGGCUAACUACGUGCCAGCAGCCGCGGUAAUACGUAAGUGGCAAGCGUUGUCCGCAUUUAUUGGGCGUAAAGCCAAGCGCCGCGGUUUCUU
rnacentral:rRNA from 1 species